AUUGAACGCUGGCGGCAUGCCUUACACAUGCAAGUCGAACGGUAACGCGGGGCAACCUGGCGACGAGUGGCGAACGGGUGAGUAAUGUAUCGGAACGUGCCCAGUUGUGGGGGAUAACUGCUCGAAAGAGCAGCUAAUACCGCAUACGACCUGAGGGUGAAAGCGGGGGAUCGCAAGACCUCGCGCAAUUUGAGCGGCCGAUAUCAGAUUAGGUAGUUGGUGGGGUAAUGGCCUACCAAGGCGACGAUCAGUAACUGGUCUGAGAGGACGAUCAGUCACACUGGAACUGAGACACGGUCCAGACUCCUACGGGAGGCAGCAGUGGGGAAUAUUGGACAAUGGGCGCAAGCCUGAUCCAGCAAUGCCGCGUGUGUGAAGAAGGCCUUCGGGUUGUAAAGCACUUUAAGCAGGGAAGAAAAAACUUUACCUAAUACGUGAAGUCUUGACGGUACCUGAAGAAUAAGCACCGGCUAACUCUGUGCCAGCCGCCGCGGUAACAC
rnacentral:rRNA from 1 species